CCUACGGGAGGCAGCAGUGAGGAAUAUUGGUCAAUGGCCGGAAGGCUGAACCAGCCAUGCCGCGUGAAGGUCAGUGCCCUAUGGGCGUUAAACUUCUUUUGUGCGGGAGCAAUAAUGGUCACGUGUGGCCAGACGAGAGUACCGUACGAAUAAGCAUCGGCUAACUCCGUUCCAGCAGCCGCGGUCAUACGGGGGAUGGAAGCGUUAUCCGGAUUUAGUGGGUUUAAAGGGUGCCUAGGCUGUGAGGUAAGUCAGCGGUGAAAUGCCCCCGCUUAACGGGGUGAAGUGCCAUUGAUACUGCCUUUCUGGAGUGCGGAAGCGGUGGGAGGAAUGUGUGGUGUAGCGGUGAAAUGCAUAGAUAUCACAAAGAACACCGAUUGCGAAGGCAUCUCACGAAUCCGCGAUUGACGCUGAUGCACGAAAGCGUGGGUAUCAAACAGGAUUAGAUACCCGUGUAGUC
rnacentral:rRNA from 1 species